rnacentral:rRNA from 1 species
AUUGAACGCUGGCGGCAGGCUUAACACAUGCAAGUCGAGCGGGGGAAGGUAGCUUGCUACUGGACCUAGCGGCGGACGGGUGAGUAAUGCUUAGGAAUCUGCCUAUUAGUGGGGGACUACAUCUAGAAAGGGAUGCUAAUACCGCAUACGUCCUACGGGAGAAAGCAGGGGACCUUCGGACCUUGCGCUAAUAGAUGAGCCUAAGUCGGAGUAGCUAGUUGGUGGGGUAAAGGCCUACCAAGGCGACGAUCUGUAGCGGGUCUGAGAGGAUGAUCCGCCACACUGGGACUGAGACACGGCCCAGACUCCUACGGGAGGCAGCAGUGGGGAAUAUUGGACAAUGGGGGGAACCCUGAUCCAGCCAUGCCGCGUGUGUGAAGAAGGCCUUAUGGUUGUAAAGCACUUUAAGCGAGGAGGAGGCUACUCUAGUUAAUACCUAGGGAUAGUGGACGUUACUCGCAGAAUAAGCACCGGCUAACUCUGUGCCAGCCGCCGCCGUAA